AGGUGUGGAUAGCGGAGAAAUUCCAAUCGAACCCGGAGAUAGCUGGUUCUCCUCGAAAUAGCUUUAGGGCUAGCCUCGUUUUAGUCUGGUGGAGGUAGAGCACUGAAUUCCCAAGGGGGCGUCAAAGCUUACCAAGGGAUAUCAAACUCCGAAUGCCAUACAGAUGAUGAACGGGAGUCAGACUAUACGAGAUAAGUUGGAUAGUCAAAAGGGAAAGAGCCCAGACCUGCAGCUAAGGUCCCAAAGUGCAUGUUAAGUGGAAAAGGAUGUGGGAUCUCUAAGACAACUAGGAUGUUGGCUCAGAAGCAGCCAUUCAUUCAAAGAGUGCGUAACAGCUCACUAGUCGAGAGGUCCUGCGCCGAAAAUGUCCGGGGCUAAAACAUGCCACCGAAGCUCAGGAAUGACAUAGUCAUUGGUAGAGGAGCAUUCUUAACGCGAAGAAGCAGUACCGUAAGGAGCUGUGGAGUGCUAAGAAGAGAGAAUGCCGGAAUGAGUAGCGAGAACAAGGUGAGAAUCCUUGUGGCCGAAUAUCCAAGGUCUCCAGGGUAAAGCUGAUCUGCCCUGGGAAAGUCGGGACCUAAGGUCAGGCUGAAAAGCGUAGCCGAUGGACAACAGGUUGAUAUUCCUGUACCGCAUGGUAACAGAACUGUGGGGACACGGGAGGGAAACAUGGGCCGGAAAUGGAAAGUCCGGUACAAGCGAGGUAGUCGCACAGCAGGCAAAUCCGCUGUGCAUAAGACGAAGCCGUGAUGUGGAGCGAAAUGAAGUAGCGAAGCAUGUGCCCCCUCCUGUCGAGAAAAGCCGCUAUUGUUUGCCAUGCGCCCGUACCGUAAACCGACACAGGUGGAUGAGGAGAGAAUCCUAAGGCCGGCGGGAGAAGCAUUGUCAAGGAACUCGGCAAAAUGACCCCGUAACUUCGGGAGAAGGGGUGCCCACGCAAGUGGGCCGCAGAGAAUAGGCUCAAGCAACUGUUUAGCAAAAACACAGGUCUAUGCGAAACCGUAAGGUGAUGUAUAUGGGCUGACGCCUGCCCGGUGCUGGAAGGUUAAGAGGAGAGGUUAGCGCAAGCGAAGCUUUGAAUCCAAGCCCCAGUAAACGGCGGCCGUAACUAUAACGGUCCUAAGGUAGCGAAAUUCCUUGUCGGGUAAGUUCCGACCCGC
rnacentral:rRNA from 1 species